rnacentral:rRNA from 1 species
UACGGGGGGAGCAAGCGUUGUUCGGAUUUACUGGGCGUAAAGGGCGCGUAGGCGGUCGUGACAAGUCACUUGUGAAAUCUCCGGGCUUAACUCGGAACGGUCAAGUGAUACUGUCGGACUAGAGUACAGAAGGGGCAACUGGAAUUCUCGGUGUAGCGGUGAAAUGCGCAGAUAUCAGGAGGAACACCGGUGGCGAAGGCGGGUCUCUGGGCCGAAACUGACGCUGAGGAGCGAAAGCGUGGGGAGCAAACAGG